GACGACGCUGGCGGCGUGCUUAACACAUGCAAGUUGAACGGGGGCAUAUUUGAAGGGUAACCGGAGGGUAUGUCUAGUGGCGAACGGGUGAGUAAUGCAUGAGAACGUAUCCUCAAGAGGGGGACAACAUUGGGAAACCGAUGCUAAUACCCCAUAAGCCGGGAGGUAAAAGGAGCAAUCCGCUUGAGGAGCGGUUCAUGUCCUAUCAGCUGGUUGGUGAGGUAACGGCUCACCAAGGCGAAGACGGGUAGCCGGCCUGAGAGGGUGAACGGCCACACUGGAACUGAGAGACGGUCCAGACUCCUACGGGAGGCAGCAGUGGGGAAUAUUGGGCAAUGGGGGAAACCCUGACCCAGCGACGCCGCGUGAGGGAAGAAGGCCUUAGGGUCGUAAACCUCUGUUGUGUGGGAAGAAGAGCGUGACGGUACCACACGAGGAAGUCCCGGCUAACUACGUG
rnacentral:rRNA from 1 species